GGAUUUUCCAGGCUUUACUGUCUUUCUGCAAGUCGAAGGCAACGUAGUUACAAUAAACAGGCACAAGAUGAUUAUGAACACACAGUCCGGACCUCGGUAUUUACAGACAACAGACACCACCUCGGUUCCUUUGAGAGACCUCCUGGCCAUGAUGUGUCAUGCAUGCAUUUCAGAAGACUGAUGGUCAAAGAGCGAGUCCUGCUGUGAUUUCAAAUGGCAGUCUCAGGAAGGGCUGGGAUUCAAAGACGGGAGCCCAGUUUUGAGAUAUCAGACUCCUUACUCAGAAAUUCCUGCCACCACAAAACAUGCAUUUUGCCAAAGCAGAAAUCUCUAUAAGUUGCAGUCAAGAGGAAGUGUUUGGCAACCAUCUCUUAGGAACAGUG
rnacentral:lncRNA from 1 species